rnacentral:rRNA from 1 species
GAUGAACGCUGGCGGCGUGCCUAAUACAUGCAAGUCGAGCGAACAGACGAGGAGCUUGCUCCUCUGACGUUAGCGGCGGACGGGUGAGUAACACGUGGAUAACCUACCUAUAAGACUGGGAUAACUUCGGGAAACCGGAGCUAAUACCGGAUAAUAUAUUGAACCGCAUGGUUCAAUAGUGAAAGACGGUUUUGCUGUCACUUAUAGAUGGAUCCGCGCCGCAUUAGCUAGUUGGUAAGGUAACGGCUUACCAAGGCAACGAUGCGUAGCCGACCUGAGAGGGUGAUCGGCCACACUGGAACUGAGACACGGUCCAGACUCCUACGGGAGGCAGCAGUAGGGAUUCUUCCGCAAUGGGCGAAAGCCUGACGGAGCAACGCCGCGUGAAUGAUGAAGGUCUUCGGAUCGUAGAACUCUGUUAUUAGGGAAGAACAAAUGUGUAAGUAACUAUGCACGUCUUGACGGUACCUAAUCAGAAAGCCACGGCUAACUACGUG